GGCGACCUAAAAAAGCUAGUGCAUUAUUAGCCUGAGUCUGGGGAUAAACAUCUCUAUUUCCCUGUCUAGCAUAUGGGCAUUCCUUGAUUUUUUCACCCUCUUGGACACAACCAUAACAACAUUUCUAUCCCAACAAACACUUACCUCCAUGAUGUUUACCAUAAUUUGAGCAUAGAGGAUGAUUUGGCUUCCCGCUCACACUACCCUAAGAUCUGGACAUAGAAGGC
rnacentral:lncRNA from 1 species